rnacentral:rRNA from 1 species
UACGUAGGGUGCAAGCGUUGUCCGGAAUUAUUGGGCGUAAAGAGCUCAUAGGCGGUUUGUCGCGUCUGGUGUGAAAAUCCAGGGCUUAACCCUGGACCUGCAUCGGGUACGGGCAGACUAGAGUGCGGUAGGGGAGAUCGGAAUUCCUGGUGUAGCGGUGAAAUGCGCAGAUAUCAGGAGGAACACCGGUGGCGAAGGCGGAUCUCUGGGCCGUAACUGACGCUGAGGAGCGAAAGCAUGGGGAGCGAACAGG